UACAGAGGUCUCAAGCGUUGUUCGGAUUCAUUGGGCGUAAAGGGUGCGUAGGCGGCGCGGUAAGUCUGGUGUGAAAUCUCGGAGCUUAACUCCGAAACUGCAUUCGAUACUGCCGUGCUUGAGGACUGGAGAGGAGACUGGAAUUUACGGUGUAGCGGUGAAAUGCGUAGAUAUCGUAAGGAAGACCAGUGGCGAAGGCGGGUCUCUGGACAGUUCCUGACGCUGAGGCACGAAGGUCAGGGGAGCAAACGGG
rnacentral:rRNA from 1 species